GACUACGUGAAAUUACAAACUCUGUCUAAAUAUUGUAGUUUCAUCAACCCAACAGUGACGUCACUAACGAGUUUGCCACUUAACAGACACGAUAGUGACACCUGGUGGACAAUGUAAGUGUACGUACUGAUUAUGUGCAGGAAGGGCUUUAUCCUCCGUGGGCCAUAUUCUCUCCCUUUAUUUAUAAUGUACGGUCAUUCCUCUGCUAUUUUACUCAUUCACUCUUUCGAGAUUCCGCGAUGACCUCCGAAGACCAAACGGUACAUGUUUUGUGUGAAUGUGGUGAAAACACAAAGCAUUCUCAGGACUGUUCUCAAGCUGUUCGAACACUGUUAUCACUGACAUAAAAACGACCUAUUUAUGGCAUUUACAGUUACACAACAUCAAGUUCUGCUCUUUUUAGCACACGCUCAUAAAUGUAAAAUCCAAUUUAGUAAACAGAGGUAAAAAUUUGACCUGAAACAACCUAAGUGCACACAAAAUUUGGAGCACCUUGUGACUUAUCGGGUCAGCGUGGUGGAGUGGCCAGAUGAGAGGCAGAUCAUAUUCAGGCAAGAGCUACCUAGCCCAUCACAAAUCUUCAUUCAGGCCACAUUUUGGUAAAGGUAAAAACCCUCACGGCUCACCUGUUUUCUGGGUUCGGUCAUGUGAUGACCUUAUAUUCAUAUAAGUCAGUGUAUGAUGCAAACUGGACCCGAAGGCCCUGUCCUGUAAUUUUCAGACACCCACCCCCGAAAUGGAUAAAACAAAACGGUGGAUUUUUAUGUGCUUAAAUCAAAUUCCACAAACGCAAUAUUACCGGUAAUCAGAAUACCGUGUCAACACUUGUGGGGGCUCAAUGAACGUAUUAUUCUAAAGAAUUGACUUUACUUCCUUAAAAAUAUGCCCACUUGAACAACAACUAUUUUAUUUUAUACACACCUGAUCAGUAUUGGUGAUAUUGUUGAAGGGACGUAGUGCACAAUAGUGUGCGAGUUUCAUCUCCAUCCGCUUGGUGGCAACCAAGACCUUACACUGGAGCGGCUGAAGAAUGUCAGAAAAAAAUAUGAAGAGCAGUAUCCACAUAGACAAAAGAAAACGCUUUGAGUUCACAACCACAUCUAGGAACAAUUUAGAGCAUUCCAUUCACCUGCAAUGCAUGUUUUUGGAAUGUGGAAGGAAACCAGAGUACAUGUUAAAAGCCCAUGUCGACUCAGAGAGAACAAGCAAACUCCACAUAGGAAGGCUAGAUCCGGAAUCGAACAUUGCAUCUCUGCACUGUGAGGCAGACGUGCUUGCCAGUCGAUCACCUUUCCGCCCUAUAGCAGCAUUAUUCAGAUGAAUUGAUUUCAUUUACUAAUGGCUUCAAGGAUCAAAACCAAACACGCCGGUGCCCCUUUUAAUUACAGAGUAUCACUUUGGCAUGAACAAGUAAAGAACGGCAGGUUAUUUGUCAGUCGCACUUUUAACAAUUGGAAGCAUUACACUGGAUACAGGAAGGUAAUCUUGGUAAUGCACCGGUCACGUCAGUCUGGCAGCACUCACAAGCAUUCGUACUAUUGAGUCAUGCUGUUUGGAAUUAAUUUACAGAAUACAUCAUCAUUUAUACAGGAUUGCUCACCUGCAAUUUUUUGGUGUCUUUUAUAAUUUUAUCUGUGCUUUAAUUGUUUUU